rnacentral:rRNA from 1 species
AUUGAACGCUGGCGGCAUGCUUUACACAUGCAAGUCGAACGGUAACAGGGAGCUUGCUCCGCUGACGAGAGGCGAACGGGUGAGUAAUGCGUCGGAACGUGCCGAGUAGUGGGGGAUAACGCAGCGAAAGUUGUGCUAAUACCGCAUACGUACUGAGGUAGAAAGUGGGGGACCUUCGGGCCUCACGCUAUUCGAGCGGCCGACGUCUGAUUAGCUAGUAGGUGAGGUAAAGGCUCACCUGGGCGACGAUCAGUAGCGGGUCUGAGAGGAUGAUCCGCCACACUGGGACUGAGACACGGCCCAGACUCCUACGGGAGGCAGCAGUGGGGAAUUUUGGACAAUGGGCGAAAGCCUGAUCCAGCCAUGCCGCGUGUCUGAAGAAGGCCUUCGGGUUGUAAAGGACUUUUGUCGGGGAGGAAAUCCCCAGCGCUAAUACCGCUGGGGGAUGACAGUACCUGAAGAAUAAGCACCGGCUAACUACGUGCCAGCCGCCGCGGUAAAAC